rnacentral:lncRNA from 1 species
GUUGCAAUGAGCAGUGCUUUCCCGUUUGAGUUGGAAAUACUCUGUGUCAUUAUGUCUGUGUGUUAAAAUAAUAGUAAAAAAAAUAUAUAUAAUUUUUUUUAGGGGCCUAUGAUUUGUUAAUCCGGCCCUGAUGGCUAUGGAGUGGCAGCGCAGGGAGGGACGCCGGAGGAGUAUCGCUUCAGCAACGACACGCGCAAAAGAAAAGCUACAAGAAUUCAGAAGAUCUGGAGAUUAAAGGUUGUAUAGGUGAUUUGCUUUUUUGGCCAUUUUUGCAAAAUUACUUGAAAUCCUUAUCAUAACCCGCUUACAGCCACUGAGUUAGAAGUACUGACAUGAAAAUUAAACAAGUCAAUCAUCUGUGGAACGGGCAGGGCUCGAAAAACUCCAGCCAAUCAUUUCCAUUGCCACCGAGUUGCAUUGGACAGUAAGUACGUCAAUCAAACGGUCGUACUGCACUCCCCCUCCCCCGCGCCCCGCGCGCGACCCCUUCGUGCAGUGCUCGUGACCCAGAGCAAGCUCCUGUUUGUUGUUAUCCUGCGGUACCUACUGGAACUAGUUAAUCCACAUUUGGACCUAGCAGUAGAAGACAAUUUCCAUGGCAGACAAAGGAAAACUCUUUUUCAGAGAGUAAUUGAUAAUAAAAACGCUGAAAGAGAAAAACUGAAAUCAAGAAUAAUCCUAGGCGCUGCUUUCGAACGUUGGCGGCAACUGAAGGACGAGAAGGGUCUAAAAACCGAUGCUUGUGUGGCGGUUGACCUAGUUUCAAAGUUUAUACCGUUUAUACUCGGUAAUACCGGUGUGGAGACGAGUGUAUUACUCGGUGUGAAAAUGUCCACACCGCGGCAACCCUAGUGAAAACCAGGACUUCCAAUACAAUUAUAUGAAACAAACAUACAUUUUCUAAAAAUAGUAAUGAUUUAUGUGACCGUUUAAUGUUUAUAACAUCUGGUCCAACCAUUGCAGCGAGAACGUAUUCUCAGCAGGGGGUGCUGGGAAAAAAAAAAAACUCAGCCUGCACUAGACUCGCAACUCGUUACAUUGAUAAAAAAAGAUGUAUAGCAGCGCAGCUCAAUUACACCAGUGCAUGCGCGGACAGUUGAAAAUCGAUCGUUCACAUCCAGCUGCUCACAGAACAAGUUUAGCGCACCACCGCUACCCUCACACUUUUUCAUGUAACCUUUUUUCAGCACUAG